AUUGAACGCUGGCGGCAGGCCUAACACAUGCAAGUCGAGCGGAGCGGCGGACGGGUGAGUAAUGCCUAGGAAUCUGCCUGGUAGUGGGGGAUAACGUCCGGAAACGGGCGCUAAUACCGCAUACUAUCAGAUGAGCCUAGGUCGGAUUGGCGGGUGGGGGGGGUAGAGGCCUACCAAGGCGACGAUCCGUAACUGGUCUGGGAGGAUGAUAAGUCACACUGGAACUGAGAAACGGGCCAGACUCCUACGGGAGGCAGCAGUGGGGAAUAUUGUACAAUGGGCGAAAGCCUGAUGCAGCCAUGCCGCGUGUGUGAAGAAGGUCUUCGGAUUGUAAAGUACUUUAAGUUGGGAGGCGUUACCAACAGAAUAAGCACCGGCUAACUCCGUGCCAGCAGCCGCGGUAAUUC
rnacentral:rRNA from 1 species